AUCCUUCUCCAAGAGUGCGCUGCCUGGGCCCGCUUGCCCUGGAGUGUAAGUGCUGGGUAAAUAAGAACCGCCUGGCGCAGGCUGUGUCUACUCUUCACGCCGCCUUCUCAGAUCGGGCUGCAUGUCCCCACUCCGUGUUUACAUCUCGUUCCCGCUCCGGGUCUCGGUGACUGGCUCCUCAAGCCGGAGACGCGUGUGGUGCGGCGCGAUGCGGGCGCCAGCGCUGUGUGUGCUGGCGUAACUUCAGCAGUCAACGGAGAGAAGAGUGGAAACCUUACUGGAUGCGGACAGGAGAGCCAGUUACUGAAAGCAGAUAUAACGCGGAUCCUGUAAAGAGUGGUGUGUAUCCAAAAAAAAAAAAUCUGUACAAUGUAUUUUAAAACUUGUGUGCACAAAACUGAAGAUUUUCUUUUUUACCUAGUCCAAAUGCCGUCCUAGCCUGAGUCCUGCUCUUUAUAAAAAUAAAAUAAAAAGAAUUUGAAGCUUGUGAAAGUA
rnacentral:lncRNA from 1 species